rnacentral:rRNA from 1 species
AUGGCCGGCCUCCACCCCUGCGUCGACGAUGAGGAGCCCGAGUACCCACGCCUCCCCGCCCUCAAGUGGCUCCUGUUCCUCGCUACCUGGAUCCGCAUUGCCCCAUCCACUCUCUCGCCCAAACCACACACCACACCGAUCCCGCACCCGCACAGCCCAUCGGCGACCUCGCCGGAGAUGAGAGAAGAAGGUGAGAGAUGGAAGCGGCGGCGGCUGCGGCCGGCGUGCAGCUGGGCUCCUCUGCCGACCCGCGCCAAGUUCCUCGAGGAGUUCGCGCGGCGGUUCGACCUCCUCAGGCUGGUCCGAUUCAGGACGGAGGUAGUGAGCGUCCGUCGUAGCAGGGCCGACGACACGGGCUGGAGGGUGAGGCUCGCCUGCGCUGGCAGCAAGCUGGAGGAGGAGGUUUGA